UUUUAUUUUAUCUAUGUUACAUUUCAUUGGUGUUACUAAUAUGCGUGCGUGGAAUGUAGCUACAUUCUCGUCAUAAAUUAAAGUACAUAACCACAUAACUACAUAACUUUUUAAUUUAAUUUGUGGUUUGUUUACGGUUGUUAGUGAUCAUAUUAUUUAUGAUUCGUCGUUCACGUGUGUGUUUGAAAUUAUUUAAAGUUUGGAAUUAUAGUUAAGAAAUAUUAACUGGAAUAUUACACAAUGUUUGGACAUCAUGUAUAGUUGGGCUAUCAUUGUAGCAGUCUGCAUUUCAUCCUGGUUGGGAGCAGUACCCUUUUAUUCACUGGAAGUGAAACAGCAAAGAUAAAUGAAAAACUGUUAAUUCAUUAGAUGGAAUGAAAAAGCUUGGCAAAACGG